rnacentral:lncRNA from 1 species
UGGCAAAUGUAAAUUCUCCUGCCUACAAAAAGAUUGAUUGAAAUUUGCAUAUAUGACCGGGCGCAGUGGCUCACACCUGUAAUCCCAGCACUUUGGGAGGCCAAGGCACGUGGAUCACCUGAGGUCAGGAGUUCAAGACCAGCCUGGCCAACGUGGUGAAACCCCAUCUCUACUAAUAAUACAGAAGAAUUAGCCAGGCGUGCAUGCCUGUAGUCCCAACUACUCAGGAGGCUGAGGCAGGAGAAUGGCUUGAACCCAUGAGGUGGAGGUUGCAGUGAGCCAAGAUCACGCCAUUGCACUCCAGGCUGGACAACAAGAGCAAAACUCCAUCUAAAAAAGAAAAGAAAAGAAAUUUGCAUACACAUACCCUUCUAUUGCUGCAAGGACCUUCAGUUUAUUGUGUGUGGCUGUCAUGUUAAGGAGUGACUUGGGGUAUGUGAAGCAAUAGAAAUGAGAACUAAAACUAAGAGAACUAAUGAAGGAGAGGAACAUCAACAAAUGUGGCUGAUCUUGGAUUGUUAGUUGAAAGGAGCAGUUACAUUUUAGCUUUUGUACUUGAAGCUUAAGUACUUCUUUCUUUUUGCUUUGCCCAUCUAUACUAAUUAUCCAUCAUCCCCAAAAGAUUUAACUUUAUUAAUCCAGUGUUAAAAGCAGGGAUCCAUAAAUGGAGUUUUAAUUCAGAAAUAUCCUACUAUAGCCCAGUGUUUCCAGCAUAAUGAAUUCACUAUGUAAUUAAAAGUUUGAUUAAACUAGAACCUACAAAAAUAUCAUGUUUCUGAACUAAUGUCCAUAGAUAGACUCAAAGGUCACCCAGUACUCUCUAUAGCUUAGAUAUAUUCAAAUAAUUUACUAUACACUUUUCCAAAGCAAAGCAAAAAAAAAAAGCGUUAUUUCUAUGGUUAUAAAAGAAGCGUUUAUCUGCUUGAAAAAAUUGCAAAGUCUGUGUGAGUGGGGUCUGUCGUGGGUCAAGCUGCAAAGAUCCGGCCUGCAUCUACCACAAGAGGGCAGUAGCACUCAACCGUUAAUAGGGAACCCAGCAGAGCGCUGGAGGCUCAUUAGAGGAAUCGUUAGAGCCGGUCGUUAACGCAUCAACCUCUGGAAAGGACAGGGAAACAGGAACCACCGUCCAGACACUUUCGGAGCUUCUGUCUCGAUCAUUCCCGAACUGAAGUAUGGAAAUUUGGUAAUGUUGUCAUUGAACAUCUAUACCACUGGAUACACAUCUGUUCAGCUCUCAUGAAGAUAACCAAACAACUAAAUAGUGGUAUUACACCUCCGUUGCCCUCCAAGACUGACAAUUAUAUGUAUGCAAAAAUGCCAGGGGAAGGUUUGCAAGAGAAGUGAUAAUGGAUGAUAAUGGAAUUGAUACUGUAUUUAGGAUCCUUUGUUUGUUAUCAGUUUUGUUUGUUAACUAUAAAAUAUUUUCCAUUGGAAAGGGGUACCUAUAAAUGUCUUCUGCUGCUAAUAUUUAUCUCAGCACUUUCUAAACCCAAAAGUGCUACCUAAGAAGAAAUUUAGCCAAAAAAUACCCAGCUAAGGUAGCCAUAGCCAAGUGUAUUUAAGUAUGUUAUAGAAUAUAUUUGAAAGCUUCCUUUCAGUUUGAGCUUUGUAUCUGCUGUGGAACUGUUAUGGUUGAUUGGGUAGUUAUUUUUCAUUCUUAUAAGGUUCAAAGUAACAGCUGAGGAUUUAGAAAACAAGAAUACCAAAUAGAAUACGAAAUAAUAAAGAUAAACCAAAAGAAUACCAAAUAAUAAAGAUUUUUAAGAAAUGGACUGAGAAUUGUUUUUCUAAUUUUUCAAAGACUUAUCUAAACAUCGCCUCUUCCCUCUCUCUGCCUCCAUACUCUUGCCUUAACAACUCAAAAGUUGCUUUUGGUUUUUAACUUUUUAAUUUUUAAUUUUUGUGGGUACAUAGUAGUUGUACAUAUUUAUGGGGUACUCAAAAGUCAUUUUAAUGAACAGAAAUUCUUGUG